ACGCUGGCGGCAUGCUUUACACAUGCAAGUCGGACGGCAGCACAGAGAAGCUUGCUUCUUGGGUGGCGAGUGGCGAACGGGUGAGUAAUAUAUCGGAACGUACCGAGUAAUGGGGGAUAACUAAUCGAAAGAUUAGCUAAUACCGCAUAUUCUCUGAGGAGGAAAGCAGGGGACCUUCGGGCCUUGCGUUAUUCGAGCGGCCGAUAUCUGAUUAGCUAGUUGGUGGGGUAAAGGCCUACCAAGGCGACGAUCAGUAGCGGGUCUGAGAGGAUGAUCCGCCACACUGGGACUGAGACACGGCCCAGACUCCUACGGGAGGCAGCAGUGGGGAAUUUUGGACAAUGGGCGCAAGCCUGAUCCAGCCAUGCCGCGUGUCUGAAGAAGGCCUUCGGGUUGUAAAGGACUUUUGUCAGGGAAGAAAAGGCUGUUGCUAAUACCGACAGCUGAUGACGGUACCUGAAGAAUAAGCACCGGCUAACUACGUGCCAGCAGCCGCGGUAAUACGUAGGGUGCGAGCGUUAAUCGGAAUUACUGGGCGUAAAGCGAGCGCAGACGGUUACUUAAGCAGGAUGUGAAGUCCCCGGGCUCAACCUGGGAACUGCGUUCUGAACUGGGUGACUAGAGUGUGUCAGAGGGAGGUAGAAUUCCACGUGUAGCAGUGAAAUGCGUAGAGAUGUGGAGGAAUACCGAUGGCGAAGGCAGCCUCCUGGGAUAACACUGACGUUCAUGCUCGAAAGCGUGGGUAGCAAACAGGAUUAGAUACCCUGGUAGUCCACGCCCUAAACGAUGUCAAUUAGCUGUUGGGCAACUUGAUUGCUUAGUAGCGUAGCUAACGCGUGAAAUUGACCGCCUGGGGAGUACGGUCGCAAGAUUAAAACUCAAAGGAAUUGACGGGGACCCGCACAAGCGGUGGAUGAUGUGGAU
rnacentral:rRNA from 1 species